CAGUCUGAGUGUGCUUCAUUAGCGUCAUGAAACAUGUUUGCUGUAACAUCUCCGUGGCUCUGCUGGACUUUACUGUCUGUCUCCCUCGUGGGCUUUACCUGUGCGGGCCACAAAAAACAUCACAGCUGAGUCUGGAAAGAACGUCACUCUGACAUGUCGAGCUCCAAAUAACAACAUAGUAGUAGAAUGGAGCAGAGCUGACCUGCAGCCAGAAUAUGUUCUUUUGUACCGAGACAAGCAGUUUAUUCGAGAUCACCAGCAUCUAUCUUUUAAGAACCGGGUGGAUCUGCAGGACAGACAGAUGAAGGAUGGAGACGUGUCUUUGAUUCUGAAGAAUGUGACGACUGCUGAUAGUGGAACAUAUAAGUGUCGUGUCUUCAUGAGAGGAGCAAACCGCAGGAAGAGAGCUCAUCUGAAGACUGAUCCUAUCACCACCAUCAGCUUAAAUGUUUCUCCAGGUCAGACAGGAGGACACACAGAGGAUGGAGGGAAG